AUUGAACGCUGGCGGCAGGCCUAACACAUGCAAGUCGAGCGGAUGAAGGGAGCUUGCUCCUGGAUUCAGCGGCGGACGGGUGAGUAAUGCCUAGGAAUCUGCCUGGUAGUGGGGGAUAACGUCCGGAAACGGGCGCUAAUACCGCAUACGUCCUGAGGGAGAAAGUGGGGGAUCUUCGGACCUCACGCUAUCAGAUGAGCCUAGGUCGGAUUAGCUAGUUGGUGGGGUAAAGGCCUACCAAGGCGACGAUCCGUAACUGGUCUGAGAGGAUGAUCAGUCACACUGGAACUGAGACACGGUCCAGACUCCUACGGGAGGCAGCAGUGGGGAAUAUUGGACAAUGGGCGAAAGCCUGAUCCAGCCAUGCCGCGUGUGUGAAGAAGGUCUUCGGAUUGUAAAGCACUUUAAGUUGGGAGGAAGGGCAGUAAGUUAAUACCUUGCUGUAUUGACGUUACCAAAAGAAUAAGCACCGGCUAACUUCGUG
rnacentral:rRNA from 1 species